rnacentral:lncRNA from 1 species
CAAAUUCAUUCACUCCUUAGUCCUUAUUUUUUAUUUUUUUUUUCAUUUAACGAUUUAAAAUUUUAAAUUGAAUUUCUAGUUUUCUACUUUAAAUUAAAAACUUACUUCUAAUAUAUUAUUAAUUUACUACCAAAUAUUAUUAAUUUAUUAUAUUAAGUAGCAUAUGUUUUGUAUAUUUGUGCAUAUAUCUUCUAUAGAAGUG